CUGAAAGCUGGACCUCUUCCACAUCUUUCAGAAUACUGACUUCAGUUCCUGUUAACACACUUAUCUUUAGACAUCAUGGGACCCAGUCCAGUUGAAAGGUAAAUGUGUACAGAUUAGUCCACCUAGCCCACUUUAUCUACUAACUGGAUCUAGAGACCAGAUCUUUUUUAAACUUCACAUUCUCCUUGCAGGUGUGCUUCUGACUUUCUAUAUUUUUCUGGACACCAUAUCUAAGCUUCAGUCUUACUUUGGAACCUUCUUCAGAGAUUGGAGCCUUUUCAUCCUGGAAUAUUCAAUCAUUUCUGUGGUUUCCUCACAGUGGAAUAUCAUCCCGUCAUGUUGGCCCCCUUCACCCUUUGUUUGAUCAACUUUUAUUUGGAGUAAC
rnacentral:lncRNA from 1 species